rnacentral:lncRNA from 10 species
UCUGGAGGGGGAAGUGUUAGCACAGAGACUCCCUGGGAAACCCGAGGAUGCCUCACCACCUCACCAUAACAGCAGGAAACCCAGAAAUGAUUCACAGCUGAAACCUCUGGCCCACAUCGACACAUCACAUCACAUGGUUGUUUCAACUGGAAACCAAACAGCCAUCUGGGCAUGAUUAUCUGUAUUUUUGUGAAGGUGUAAAUACACAUUCUGUCCUACUGGUGGCGGAGUGGGACUCCUUCAUGAUGUGGCACAGUUUCCUUGAGUUUUAGGAAGAAACGGCCCAUGUGGCAGAUUCAGAAACAAUGAAUCAGCACCUAAACAAACAGGAAGAUUUGGCACAAAAAAGUUUGCUUCGGGCAACCAUUGCCAGCUCUAUCCAGACCUCCAAGGAAUGAAAAAACUGAAGAUCAGAGAGGUUGUAUAACUUGCCUAAGGUCAUAAAACUACUUAAUGAUGAAAAUUUAAAACCAAGUCUGUCUGACUCUGUAGCCAUGGUUCUCACUGUCUGGUCCCUGGACCAGCUGUAUCAGCACCUCCUGGGAACUCAUCAGAGACCUAAUGAGUCAGAAAUUUGGGGGGUCAGGUGGAGCCAUCUGUGUCCUGGCAAGCCUCAAGGUGAUUCUACUGGACACUCCCAACCAAGAACCACUGUUCCAGCACGUUCCCUUCAUCUCCACGCCAUGCUGCGUCUCCAACUUCCUGCUCUCCAAAGGCAAAACUCACCAUGAGGGAAUCAUCCAGAAAUAAAGUUGAUUUUCACUUCUCCCUGCAGAUGCUCCCAGGGAGUUAAAGGUGACUCUUCACUCCAGACUCUAAAUUUGACCCCCUUUCAGGCGGCCACCCCAGGUUCAUUAUCACACCAAUCAGCCAACUGUUUUGAGUAGAAAUCUCCUUUCCCACCCUGUAAGGAAUUCCAGGACACCGUCUAUGAAGAGGGAAAUCAUAACUUGGCUAUUUGUUCAGGACACCCCUACCCUCUUCCAGACCAGCAGCUCAUUGAGACACCUGCCCUCGAGAUACCACUUGACUACUGCCGCCAGUCGACAAUUAUUGAUCAAGUACUGUGUCAGGUCCUCUGCUAGGCCGUUUGAGACAUGUUAUCUCAAUUAAUCCUUACAACAACCCAAGAGGUAGACAUGAUUAUUAGCCCAUUUCAAAAACAAGAAAACUGAGGCACAGAUUAUUUGCCUAACUUCACUAGCUAAUAAAUUACUGAGAUGAGACUUAAACUCAGUUUGUCUCAAGAACCCCAUGGUCUUAUCCAGUAUGCCCUAUUGCCUGUUACGGGCCUUUGUCAAACAAGUCUUCUCUCUUGGUGCACUCCAGGCCAACUUUCUGUGUUCCAGCUUGAGAGUCCUCUUUGCAGCCAUGUGAAUCCAGUGUCUUCCUCUCGUUAAUCCUCUAGGACACCUCUGCCCAGCUUUCUUCCAUCCCCCCGCACCUGGCCAUUUCCCUCUGGAGCUGUUUCCUACUAGCUGGGCUCUCACCUCCCAGACACUUUUCCUUCCUUUAGACCAGCUUCAUCUCCUCUAUGUGCUGCUCAGCAUGGAAUAAAUUCUAUCUUUUUCCAAUUCCCAAUUUCUAAGGCAGGUUUUUUUUUUUUUUUAAUCUUACCAUCUCUGCUUUGACCAGACACUUGGUACAACUUCAAACAUUGUCGCCUGUGGUUUGGC